rnacentral:rRNA from 1 species
AGAGUUUGAUCCUGGCUCAGAAUCAACGUUGGCGGCGCGCCUAACACAUGCAAGUCGAACGAGAAAGUGGAGCAAUCCAUGAGUACAGUGGCGUACGGGUGAGUAACACGUGGGUAAUCUGCCUGUUAGUGGGGAAUAACCCUGGGAAACCGGGGCUAAUACCGCAUAAGUUCGUAAGAAGAAAGUCGCAAGACGCUGACAGAGGAGCCCGCGGCCGAUUAGCUAGUUGGCAGGGUAAAAGCCUACCAAGGCUACGAUCGGUAGCCGGCCUGAGAGGGCACACGGCCACACUGGCACUGAAACACGGGCCAGACUCCUACGGGAGGCAGCAGUGGGGAAUCUUGCACAAUGGGGGAAACCCUGAUGCAGCGACGCCGCGUGAGUGAUGAAGCCCUUCGGGGUGUAAAGCUCUUUCGACGGGAACGAUUAUGACGGUACCCGGAGAAGAAGCUGCGGCUAACUACGUGCCAGCAGCCGCGGUAAUACGUAGGCAGCAAACGUUGUUCGGAAUUACUGGGCGUAAAGAGUGUGUAGGCGGUUCCGUGUGAUUGGUGUGAAAUCUCCCGGCUUAACUGGGAGGGUGCGCCGAUAACUGCGGGGCUUGAGUAUUGGAGAGGAGAGCGGAAUUCCUGGUGUAGCGGUGAAAUGCGUAGAUAUCAGGAGGAACACCGGUGGUGUAGACGGCUCUCUGGACAAUCACUGACGCUGAGACACGAAAGCGUGGGGAGCAAACAGGAUUAGAUACCCUGGUAGUCC